AAACCAACAGGGAUUGCCCCAGUAACGGCGAGUGAAGCGGCAACAGCUCAGAUUUGAAAUCCGGCCCCCAGGGCCCGAGUUGUAAUCUGCAGGGGAUGCCCCUGGCGCGGCGCCCACCGAGUUCCCUGGAACGGGACGCCAUAGAGGGUGAGAGCCCCGUAUGGUGGGAUGCCUAGCCUUUGUGGGGCUCCUCCGACGAGUCGAGUAGUUUGGGAAUGCUGCUCUAAUCGGGAGGUAAAUCUCUUCUAAAGCUAAAUACCGGCCAGAGACCGAUAGCGCACAAGUAGAGUGAUCGAAAGAUGAAAAGCACCUUGGAAAGGGGGUUAAACAGCACGUGAAAUUGUUGAAAGGGAAGCGCCUGUGACCAGACUCGCGCCGGGCGGAUCAUCCAGCGGUCUCCGCUGGUGCACUCCGCCCGGCACGGGCCAGCAUCGGUUUCCGCGGGGGGACAAGAGCGGCGGGGACGUGGCUCCCCCGGGAGUGUUAUAGCCCGCCGCACGAUGCCCCCUCGGGGACCGAGGUACGCGCUCCGCAAGGAUGCUGGCGUAAUGGUCACCGGCGAC
rnacentral:rRNA from 1 species